GGGCCCGCACAAGCGGUGGAGCAUGUGGUUUAAUUCGAUGCAACGCGAAGAACCUUACCAGGACUUGACAUACUACAAAUUUUCUUGAGAAAGAAAAGUGCCUUCGGGAAUGUAGAUACAGGUGGUGCAUGGCUGUCGUCAGCUCGUGUCGUGAGAUGUUGGGUUAAGUCCCGCAACGAGCGCAACCCUUAUUUUUAGUUACUAAUUCGUUAGGCUCUCUAGAAAGACUGCCGGUGACAAACCGGAGGAAGGUGAGGAUGACGUCAAGUCAGCAUGCCCCUUAUGUCCUGGGCUACACACGUGCUACAAUGGUUAAGACAAAGAGUCGCGAGCUUGCGAAAGUCAGCUAAUCUCAUAAACUUAGCCUAAGUUCAGAUUGUAGGCUGCAACUCGCCUGCAUGAAGUUGGAAUCGCUAGUAAUCG
rnacentral:rRNA from 1 species